UUUUUUUUUUAGAAUUGAGCCUCUAUGGUGUGAUGUUUGGUCAGCCGUCUCUUGUACUAUGAAGAACUGCAAUGGAAGAAGAGACAGUGCUUGAUUCGGCAGGUGAACUGCACCUAUUUUAUGGUGGAGCAACUUUUUCAAGAGGAAAUUGUUGACAUUGUCACAGAGGAUGAUGGUGUGGUCGUGGUGCCAGAGAUCUAUUGUCCUUUGUCAGACCAAAAGCCUUUGAUAUCACCAUUGAAUGUCCAGGGGCCCGUUUCAGAAAGGUGGUUAAGUGAAAACUCUGAGUUUACUAUCUCAGAGUAAAUCAACUCAGAGUUCAAGUUUAAACUCAGAGUUGGUUGAACCUCCUUAUUGAAACGGGCCCCAGGAGUUAUACCAACAGACACUCUAUGUCAUCCAAAGACUGUGUUCCAUUUAAAUUGUAAAAGUCAUUUUCAGGUUUGAAAGAUGCAGAAGUUGGUUCACAGAUGUACUUUUCCUUUAAAACUAUUUCCCACCUGUAAUCACAAUGGAGACACAUCUCUGAGUGCUGGGCUUCCCCUCUUAUUGUGUUCGGAUUCAUAUGCAUCUGCAGGGUUAUUCAUGCCAACACUUUAUAGCGUUGUGCUGGUAAUUUAUCUUUAUAUAUCAUGCCUUCUCACUGCGUCUGUCAGCCUGUGCUUUACAUAUCUGAGAGUCAACGCAGCUAAACAUGAAGGACAAAUGAAUGCAAGACAUUAUGCAUGUUAUAUAUCGGCAUAUGGAUGAUUAGAUUAAAAACUGCUUUCUGUUUGUGUGUUUAAACAUCAAGACAUAGAAAAUGUACUGUCUUCCAUUUUCUGUUGUGUAAUAAAUCAUAGGAAAAUCAUUUUAAACCAUUCAACCAUUAAAUUUGAGAAAUAACUUUUUUGUAACAAAAAUAUUUAAGACUUUUUAAACCAUUUAAUAGCAUGUACAAUCACAAGUGUUUUUUGUCAUCCUCAUCCCAUCUCCAUGUUGUUUCUUUAUUCUGCUGAACACAAGACAUUUUAGAAAAAGACGACAUUUUAAUAAAUGAUGGUUAGCACACAUGAGACUGUACCCAUUGACUUCCUUAGAUUUUAUUUGUACUUUAGACGUCAAUGGGUACACUCUCCUGUGUGCUUACCAUCAUUUAUCAAAAUAUCUUCUCAGCAGAAUAAAGAAACUUAAACAGGUUUACAACAACAUGAGGCUGAGUAAAUGAUAGCAGAAUUUUCAUUUUUGUGUGAAUUAUCCCUUAUUCCCUUUAAGACUCUGUAAACCAUUCAGAUGCAUGUAAAAUCAUUAACAACUGUUAAACAGCAUCUAUAAAUGAUAAAAAAGACAUUACUAUUGGGAGAAACAUUUUGUCUAGACAUUUGAGUUCAUUUCAACCGACACUCUGUAAAAGUAAGCAUCAUGUUGCACUGGUGUUUCCAUUCUUUCUUUAAAUUCAUUUGCUUGGCCUUCGCUGCAUGCAUGUGUGAUCAAACUCAGUUAUUUUGAAGGCGUUUUUCUCUUGACAGAAGCAGGUGCCUGUCAACCACUGCAUCACCCGUGGGACAGAAAGUGCUGCCUCGUCUCCCCGUCUAGGGAAGUAAAAUAAACAAUAAGCAUAUAAUGACAUCACUACAUAUAGCACAAUAGUCAUUCAACACAAAUACUUUAAAAUGUAUGACUUGUUUGUAACUAAUUGUUGCUUUAGAAAACCGCAAGUUUACAAGGUAUACAUUAGAACCCUGAAAUUUUGAAGCUGGCCACCCUGUGCAAGGCUAACAGUAAAAACCUCUCCAGCAGCACAUCCAAAUAACUUAAUAGCAAAUUUAGCAUUGUGACUGUAGCAUCCUGUACUCCUCUGUGAGGUCUAUAUGCAAAUUGAAUAGGGUCCAAUGUUGUGUCUUUAGAGACUUAUUAUAAAUUUCAUAAAAUACAGGGCUCAGUUCUUUUGCACAAGACUUUUUGUACAAUAGUUAGCUUGUCUGGAACAAAGCAUUCACAUAAAGGCUCGUACAGACUACAUGACUUUAAAACGUUGUCAAGCGUCAAGAGCUCAUUAUUAUUCGACUGAAGCGUGCAGCCGAAUAACACUCGCUGCGUAGACGUUUGUAGCACGGCCAGCUACGCAAUGCUCGUUCCCGUUAUUUCAGGGAACCGGGGUUACGCGAGUUCCCUUUCAAUACGGUUCACUUCGCAUUGCGUCAGUUGCUGACGCUAUGGGGGAAAGUAAUCCCAUCACGCCGUGCAUACACAACGUACUGAAGUGCCUUACCGGAAAGACACUGCGUGUGGCCCUAUAUCCGGCAUAUUCACAGCUUUAAAGCAAAAGUGUAAGCACCAUAUAAAAUGUUAACGCGCAUACGGUGGGGUUUUAACUGCACCGGGAGCACAUAACAUAGCACAAGCCGGCAAGAUCACCGAGCGCGCCACGAGUGUGCGAGAUAAGUAAAUUCAGAGUCACGUUAGUGAGCUCGCACACAUAGGUAGUAUUAUAGUGCACAGAUCGGUGAGCUUUCCAAGCGUGCCGUAAAUGUGUACUGACUAUAAAUUGCACGGGCACAGGUGAACACUUGAGUACAUCGUAAAUGCAUAUAGAUGAAUCAGAGUGUUAUAAUGCACAGGCCGGCAAGAUUCUCGAGCGCGGGGGGUUUAGACUUUUCUCUGUCACUAGACAGAAUAGAUCAGACUUUGCAUAAGGACGCCUUGCGAAAAGGAUCCUAGCAGCUCGUGUCAACAUGUCAUAAGGCAGGUCGUGUCCCACGGAUGCAAUCUCCACACGCCCGUCGUAACAGGUUAAUAUGUCUGCAUCUUGGUGGUUUAAGCACGAGAUGCGUAUCACUCUGAUUGAACAUAGCUUAUAAAGCGAUGCAAUGAGUUUAUAAAGGAGAUGACUCGUCAGCUUGUACAGGGGUGAGAUCUCAGUCUGGCUCGGUGAAUAAUGAAACCACCGUAGUUUGCUCGACCGCAUUAUCACAAUAACACGGUCGAGAGUGCUGCAGUGCUAAAAUCAUCCCCUUAAUGGACCGUAUGUACAGUACAAGGUGAUUGAUGUGAGACAAACGGGCGUUCCACGCGCUGAAGGCUGAUUGCCGUCGUAAGGCGUGUUCAACCCACAUCAGAUGCUGGGCGAGCUCGUAAUGAUAGCACUUCAUGUAGCCGUGUGUAACUUAAAGUAUAAGCUUCCCGGCCGUCAGCUCGGGGCGGGACCUUGCUUAGUCAAACUGAAGUGGUCUUAUGAACAGAAUGCCACAAUAUUCAGCUUUCUGGGGCUCGUUAGAUACCGCACAUCUGACUGUGAGCGCGCUUUGGUGUUGAGCUCGCUUUCCGAGCAUCAUAAACGAAACUUAUUGUGGCGGGUAGCAAGCUCACUUGAGGUUGAUAUUACCCUUAAUAUUUCCGAGUAUUGGAGCGGAGCGGAGGUGUGAGCGUCUUCGGAUUCACUGAUAUAAACCAGCUAUAUGGCCGAAAAACGUCAUAAACCGCUUGGCUGUAAGCCUUUGAGUGGCCGUCAGGAGAGGGCGCGAUUCAAACGUUUGGAGCCAUAAAAAUCUGAGGCUGCCGUCUCUCUAGGAAGAGAAAAUAACAGCCGUAAGACCGUGCUCGGCUGCUAGCGAAUUUCAACGAGAAGCGUCAAAACCGGGUUUUUCGGUGAGCAUCGUUACAAUUAUAUUACUGACUGCUUGGCGGGUAAGGCAGAAAGGUGUUAGAGACACCGUACAGCCGUGGGGUGUCAAUACACAGUAUAUGGCCAAACUGGGUUUUUUUCGGCGAGCGUCGAUACAAUUAUGGACGGCAGGCCGUGUGUGCGUAUUACUGACUGCUUGUCGGUAAGGCAAAAAGUGUUUAAAGACACCGUACAGCCGUGGGGUGUCAAUACACAGUAUAGUAAGCACGGAAAUUGCUCUUAGAGGAAUUCAAUACCGUUCGCCACUAUAGUGAGGUCGCAUAACCGACAGUAUUACACAGUAUGUUUUUUGGAUAAACAGCACACAGAAAACAUUUCAGGGCAGUCCAGCCGUGGCGCGACUUAACCCUUCCUCUCCCAGACAGUUGGUUCUCUGUCGACGCAGCUAUGCUGCGAAGACCAGAUCUCGGCCGUUCAGGUGCACGAGCCUCAGUAGUGACGGUGACCAGAGCGGCUCACAGAGCAGAGCAGUAUGUCUGGGUGGUUUAAUGUCAGACUGGACCCAUCACAGAGAGGAAGUCUGCCGUGAGGCCCGCGGUUUUGCCAUUUAUUUAAAGGGCAGAAAAACCGGGGUAUAUAAGAAAUGUACCAAUAUUCAGCGCACUGAAUAGGACGGGACUGAAUAAAGGGAGGUAUUCGGGCCUCAGCAUGUUAUAAACAAAUUUGUUCUGACUCUGAUUCCGUCUAAGCCAGAGAGAAAUGACCGGGCAGACGAAAAGUGAGCUCUACCGAAGUGAGACAGACUCAGGCCAGUUAAGCUCUUAUAAUAAGUGUUCUUAGUGCUCCAAUAGCGGCGUGUCCGCCUUAUCGAGCAGACGAAUGAGAUUGCGCCGCUCCAGGAGGGGAGGGGCAUGAAGCUUUGUAUAGACGAAUAGUGAGCUCUACCGGAGUGAGACAGAUUCAGGCCGGAUAAGCUCUUAUAAUAAGUGUUCUUAGUGCUCCAAUAGCGGCGUGUCCGCCCUAUCGAGCAGACAAAUGAGAUCGCACUGCUCCAGGAGGGGAGGGGCAUGAAGCUCUGUAAUCGUUGAACACUCGACAGCUGCAAGCGAAGGCUAUCUUCGGUUCUCAGCCGGAAAGCGGCAGGGGAAGACGCUAGACCUGGAUUCUGCUAUCUUCGGUUCUCAGCCGGAACGGCAGGGGAAGACGCUAGGCCUGGACUCCGCUGCAGGGCUUGUGUCGACGGCGAGGUAAGGCUUCAUCUUCUUUGGAGCAGCGAGAGGUUCGCGCUGAAGGAGAAAAUUAAUGAGCUCUUGACGCUUGACCCGCGCUUAUACAAGGACGUGUGCAUCCCACGCGUGGGUUCAAACGUAAUUGGUCUGUAUUUUUUACAGACGUUUACCAAUAGGCUUCAAUCGCGGAGUAAACAGGUGUUUCCCCAAUAGCGUCAGCAACUGACGCAAUGCGAAGUGAACCGUAUUGAAAGGGAACUUUUGUUUGUAUAUAGACUUCAGACAGAAAUUAGUGCUGCAAACCGUUUGCGCGAUGCAAAGUCGCAAAAGAAAAAAAUUAAAGAGAUGUGGAUGUGGAGAGGUGGAUCAGCACCACAUGCGGACAGCAGGGAUUAAAGAGUUGGAGGCGAGUACAGCUUGUUUACAUAGGAAAUAUAGCUGCAUGCUUAUGUUUGGCUAUGAUCACAUUUAAAAUAUCAAAGUUUUGUCUACUGUGCUUAAAAGCUGUGCUUAAAAGCUGUGUUUCUUGAUUUAAUUAUCGUUCAAAUAGAAUAGGACAGGCGCAAAGCAUGACUUGGAGAGCAUUUGACUUUGACCCUGCGAUUCUAUGCAACAGGUUUGUGUGAUUUAAUUUCAAACGAAUAUGAACGGAAUGUUGUCAUAACGUUUUUUCUGUCUGGGUAUGUUUUUGGACUUUUUUGUGUCAUGCAGGUGACACAUUCAAGUCCCUCAGGUUCAAGUCCAGGAUGGGGGACCAGCACCAUCUCAUAAAUAGUUUUGGAUACCUGUUCUGCUCUGUACCAGGUUAUAAAGGAUGAUUUCUUGAAGACACCAUCAACGGAAGGAGAGUGGCAUACAAUAGCCAUGGACUUCGAAAGGAAGUGGCAGUUUCCACAUUGCUUUGGGGUACUUGCUACCACUCCAGCUGUAGCAGACUGCUGACCACAACAUGGUUGAUGGGCAGUGGAAGAAUCAUAGGUGCUUUUCAACCGAUGAAAUACACCUCACAUCGCAAUUGUAUGGCAACAGCAAAAGUGCAACGCAAUCUGAUGCGGGACUACUUUGUCUGAACCAGCGGGUAGUGUUUAUUGGCAAGUUCAACACAUUUUAAAAGGAACUGAUGUAGAGUUAUCCCUGCAAACAGCAGAUUAAAGUCAGUUAUUGUCAGUUUAGGACAUUUGUUUUCGUGUGUGUUCUAAAGUCCUGUAUAUGUAAAGAACACAAAUGUGGUUCACUUAUUCAUUGUUUUGAGUAUUCUGUUUAUUGUUGUGUUAUUAUUCAAUUAAUUUUAAUUGCAUACAAAUCAAAAGGUGCAGGAAUGUAACAAAUAAAGGCAAUCUGUAUGUUGCAAUUAAGUGCCUUAUACUAACUUUAUUUCUUGAUCCACACUUUCUUGAUUCACAGAACAUUUACAAUGUCUCUAUACUAGGGCGAUAAACAUCAACAUAUCUGAUGAUCAUGAUAAAAUUUAUGGCGAUUGUAAUGAUAAGCUCUGGGCAUUUUUACUCAAUGUGGAUUAAUCUAACAGCCAAUCACACACAAUUAUAUUACGAUAUUUAUAUCACCACAUAGGGAGUUUUGUAAUGUUUAAUUGUGUUAAUGUGGCGCACUGCAUGUGUUCUAACAAUGUAUAUUUUGUCUGUCCACAUAAUAUACAUUCAAAUGUUCUACAUUGUUUUCAAGUUGCACAAACAACAAUGCAAUGCUAUAAAGCUCUAUAUUCAUAUUGCCUGUUUUUGUAAAAUAUGACUCAAUGUGUUUUAUACUUUUAUACUUUGUUGCAAUAAAUUUAUUACUUUCGAUAGACCAUUUAUUUCAUGAAACAACACUGGGAAAUUCAAUCUAAACCCUUUAACAAGUUUAAUCACCUUAUUGAUAAAUGUAAUGCAUAGUAAAGUCAAUAG